UACGUAGGGAGCAAGCGUUGUCCGGAUUUAUUGGGCGUAAAGAGCUCGUAGGCGGCUUAGAAAGUCAGGUGUGAAACCUCCAGGCUCAACCUGGAGACGCCACUUGAUACUUCUAUGGCUUGAGUUCGGCAGGGGUAAGCGGAAUUCCUGGUGUAGCGGUGAAAUGCGCAGAUAUCAGGAGGAACACCGGUGGCGAAGGCGGGUCUCUGGGCCGUUACUGACGCUGAGGAGCGAAAGCGUGGGGAGCGAACAGG
rnacentral:rRNA from 1 species